GUGUUCGCUUCGGCAACACAUAUACUAAAAUUGGAAUGAUACAGAGAAGAUUAGCAUGGCCCCUGCACAAGGAUGACAUGCAAAUUUGUGAAGUAUUCCAUAUUUUU
ensembl:snRNA U6 U6 spliceosomal RNA